GACGAACGCUGGCGGCGUGCUUAACACAUGCAAGUCGAACGGAAAGGCCCUGCUUUUGUGGGGUGCUCGAGUGGCGAACGGGUGAGUAACACGUGAGUAACCUGCCCUUGACUUUGGGAUAACUUCAGGAAACUGGGGCUAAUACCGGAUAGGAGCUCCUGCUGCAUGGUGGGGGUUGGAAAGUUUCGGCGGUUGGGGAUGGACUCGCGGCUUAUCAGCUUGUUGGUGGGGUAGUUGCUUACCAAGGCUUUGACGGGUAGCCGGCCUGAGAGGGUGGCCAGCCACAUUGGGACUGAGAUACGGCCCAGACUCCUACGGGAGGCAGCAGUGGGGAAUAUUGCACAAUGGGCGGAAGCCUGAUGCAGCAACGCCGCGUGCGGGAUGACGGCCUUCGGGUUGUAAACCGCUUUCGCCUGUGACGAAGCGUGAGUGACGGUAAUGGGUAAAGAAGCACCGGCUAACUACGUG
rnacentral:rRNA from 1 species